UACAGAGGUCCCGAGCGUUGUUCGGAUUCACUGGGCGUAAAGGGUGCGCAGGUGGGUUGGCAAGUUUGAUGUGAAAGCCCCGGGCUUAACCCGGGAAAGGCAUUGAAUACUGCUGAUCUGGAGGAUCGGAGGGGGGACUGGAAUUCUGGUGUAGCAGUGAAAUGCGUAGAUAUCAAGAGGAACACCAGUGGCGAAGGCGA
rnacentral:rRNA from 1 species